UGUCUGUUAAUUAGAGCUGUCAAUUGUCAACAUUGGCUGGUCAAGUCGGGCAGAAUUUUUUAUCGGUCGGGUUAGGCAAUCGGAUUGGUGCAGUUCAUAGCAGGGAUUUAUGCAGGGCUUUCUUUGACAUGUACCUUGGAGACGGUCCGGUCUCUGAGCAAACAAAAACAGAGAUCGGAGAAAAUGUCACGAAUAUAAUGCGAAGGUGCUAAUUUGGGCAUCCUGCUUCUCUCCAGCAUUUUAAAUGGAUAAUUAGUUUAGAAUCCUAGUCUUUAGU
rnacentral:lncRNA from 1 species